rnacentral:rRNA from 1 species
AGUGAACGCUGGCGGUAGGCCUAACACAUGCAAGUCGAACGGCAGCACAGUAAGAGCUUGCUCUUACGGGUGGCGAGUGGCGGACGGGUGAGGAAUACAUCGGAAUCUACUUUUUCGUGGGGGAUAACGUAGGGAAACUUACGCUAAUACCGCAUACGACCUACGGGUGAAAGCAGGGGAUCUUCGGACCUUGCGCGAUUGAAUGAGCCGAUGUCGGAUUAGCUAGUUGGCGGGGUAAAGGCCCACCAAGGCGACGAUCCGGAGCUGGUCUGAGAGGAUGAGCGGCAAAAGUGGAGCGGAGACAGGGCCCGGACUCCUGCGGGAGGCAGAAGUGGGAAAUAUGGGACAAGGGGCGAAAGCCUGAUCCAGCCAUGCCGGGGGUGGGAAGAAGGCCUUCGGGUUGUAAAGCCCUUUUGGGGGGAAGAAAGGGCAGUAGGUUAAUCCCCUGCUGUUUUGACGGUACCAAAAGAAUAAGCACCGGCUAACUUCGUG